UUCUUUCUGGUUAUGAUGAUGGCCAUGGCAUGGACUUCAGAUAACUAUGUGGCUGGAUUAAGAUUGAGGUUUACGAGCAAAGAAAAUUUGUCUGAGUCUCAGAUUACAGAGUUGGUGAUAGAUAAAUUAAAACAGGAGCUGAUCAGACGAGGACUCCCUAACAACUUUACCAUGCGCUUGAGAAACGAUCGUGAAAUUAGUUCAUCAGUUAUUUCAUCAGGUCACAAGCCUGUUGUGUCAAUAAAAUAAUAGCAAAUUAAUUUGGAUUGACUUUGAAGUAGAACCUUAGUCCUGACUCCUGAGAAUCCUGGGCUUGAGCUCCAAGCUUACCUGGACAAUGGAAUUUGAUAAAGUUAACUGAUUAUGGGUGAAGGAGGGAUGCUGGAAGAAUUGUCAAAGGGGAAAGAUCGGUGGCCAGGUGGCAGUUGCUUAUAUACACUUUAAAAAAGACUUUUAUGUCAUUGUUCUAAAAUGUUUAUAUACUGUAUGCGUUUUAAAUUUUUAAAUUUAAUUUAGCUGUUUUAAAGA